GAAUGUGUAGCAUAGAGGUUUGAGUGUUAGACUAUGACUCUGGAGACUAGGGUUUGAUUCCCCACCUGGCUA